rnacentral:rRNA from 1 species
UACGUAAGGGGCAAGCGUUGUCCGGAAUUAUUGGGCGUAAAGAGCGUGUAGGCGGUCCGGUAAGUCAGCUGUGAAAGUCAAGGGCUCAACCCUUGAAUGCCGGUUGUUACUGUCGGGCUAGAGUCCGGAAGAGGCGAGUGGGAUUCCCGGUGUAGCGGUGAAAUGCGCAGAUAUCGGGAGGAACACCAAUGGCGAAGGCAGCUCGCUGGGACGGUACUGACGCUGAGACGCGAAAGCGUGGGGAGCAAACAGG